rnacentral:rRNA from 1 species
GUGGGGAAUUUUGGACAAUGGGCGAAAGCCUGAUCCAGCAAUGCCGCGUGUGUGAAGAAGGCCUUCGGGUUGUAAAGCACUUUUGUCCGGAAAGAAAUGGCUCUGGUUAAUACCUGGGGUCGAUGACGGUACCGGAAGAAUAAGGACCGGCUAACUACGUGCCAGCAGCCGCGGUAAUACGUAGGGUCCAAGCGUUAAUCGGAAUUACUGGGCGUAAAGCGUGCGCAGGCGGUUAUGCAAGACCGAUGUGAAAUCCCCGAGCUUAACUUGGGAAUUGCAUUGGUGACUGCACGGCUAGAGUGUGUCAGAGGGGGGUAGAAUUCCACGUGUAGCAGUGAAAUGCGUAGAGAUGUGGAGGAAUACCGAUGGCGAAGGCAGCCCCCUGGGAUAACACUGACGCUCAUGCACGAAAGCGUGGGGAGCAAACAGGAUUAGAAACCCCAGUAGUCC